rnacentral:rRNA from 1 species
UACGUAGGGGGCAAGCGUUGUCCGGAUUCAUUGGGCGUAAAGCGCGUGUAGGCGGCCUGGUAGGUCUGCUGUGAAACCUCGAGGCUCAACCUCGAGAGGUCGGCGGAAACCACCUGGCUAGAGUCCGGAAAGAGGAGAGUGGAAUUCCCGGUGUAGCGGUGAAAUGCGCAGAUAUCGGGAAGAACACCCGUGGCGAAGGCGGGCUCUCUGGGACGGUAC